AAAUGGGAAAGAACCCAGAUCACUGUUGUUCUUACAUUUUUUAUUAUCUAAUUUUGCUUGUCUUUUGUCUCAGAGAUAUCAGUUUAGUUUUUGAUCUUGCUUUCUAAGUUCUUCAGGUUGUUGUAUCUGGGUUUGUUUAUCUUUUUUUGCAUGCCUUGAUUUUCUUUGAUGAAUACCCAUUUUGGGUUUUGAAGAGAAACCUGAAGGGAUGAAUUCAAAUGGAAAAUUUUCAAUUUUGUUGCAUUUCCUUUUGGUGUUUAAUUAUCAAGUAAUUGUUUCAGAGCCAGUUAAUAUGACAAAUAGUUGUCCAUGAAUAAAUUCAGUUGUUUGAUUUGAUCCAUGAGCCGGUAAAAAGAGUGAAGUCUUUGACAUUGAUCUAA
rnacentral:misc_RNA from 1 species